UACGUAGGGUGCGAGCGUUGUCCGGAAUUACUGGGCAUAAAGGGUGCGUAGGCGGCAUGCCAAGUCAGGGGUGAAAGGUUUCGGCCCAACCGGGACAGUGCCUUUGAUACUGGCGUGCUUGAGUGCGUGAGGGGUGACUGGAACGAGUGGUGUAGCGGUGAAAUGCGUAGAUAUCACUCGGAAGGCCAACGGCGAAGGCAGGUCACUGGUACGCAACUGACGCUGAGGCACGAAAGCGUGGGGAGCAAACAGG
rnacentral:rRNA from 1 species